rnacentral:rRNA from 1 species
GACGGAGGAUGCAAGCGUUAUCCGGAAUUAUUGGGCGUAAAGCGUCCGCAGGUGGACAUACAAGUCUGCUGUCAAAGUGCAGAGCUUAACUCUGUAAAGGCGGUGGAAACUGUAGGUCUUGAGUAUGGUAGGGGUAGAGGGAAUUCCCGGUGUAGCGGUGAAAUGCGUAGAUAUCGGGAAGAACACCAGUGGCGAAAGCGCUCUACUGGGCCAUAACUGACACUGAGGGACGAAAGCUGGGGGAGCGAAAGGG